rnacentral:rRNA from 1 species
GACGAACGCUGGCGGCGUGCUUAACACAUGCAAGUCGAACGGAAAGGCCCUGCUUUUGUGGGGUGCUCGAGUGGCGAACGGGUGAGUAACACGUGAGUAACCUGCCCUUGACUUUGGGAUAACUUCAGGAAACUGGGGCUAAUACCGGAUAGGAUCUCCUGCUGCAUGGUGGGGGUUGGAAAGUUUCGGCGGUUGGGGAUGGACUCGCGGCUUAUCAGCUUGUUGGUGGGGUAGUGGCUUACCAAGGCUUUGACGGGUAGCCGGCCUGAGAGGGUGACCGGCCACAUUGGGACUGAGAUACGGACCAGAAUCCUACGGGAGGCAGCAGUGGAGAAUAUUGCACAAUGGGCGGAAGCCUGAUGCAGCAACGCCGCGUGCGGGAUGACGGCCUUCGGGUUGUAAACCGCUUUCGCCUGUGACGAAGCGUGAGUGACGGUAAUGGGUAAAGAAGCACCGGCUAACUACGUG